UACGAAGGGGGCUAGCGUUGUUCGGAAUUACUGGGCGUAAAGCGCACGUAGGCGGAUAUUUAAGUGAGGGGUGAAAUCCCAGGGCUCAACCCUGGAACUGCCUCUCAUACUGGGUAUCUCGAGUUCGAGAGAGGUGAGUGGAAUUGCGAGUGUAGAGGUGAAAUUCGUAGAUAUUCGCAGGAACACCAGUGGCGAAGGCGGCUCACUGGCUCGAUACUGACGCUGGAGACACGAAAGCGUGGGGAGCAAACAGG
rnacentral:rRNA from 1 species